AGAGUUUGAUCCUGGCUCAGGACGAACUUUGGCGGCGCGCCUAACACAUGCAAGUCGAACGGAGAUCAUUUGGUAGAAGUUUUCGGAUGGACACCGAGUGAUCUUAGUGGCGAACGGGUGAGUAACGCGUGAGCAAUCUGCCUCAGAGUGGGGGACAACAGUUGGAAACGACUGCUAAUACCGCAUAAGCCCACAGCACCGCAUGGUGCAGCGGGAAAAGAUUUAUUGCUUUGAGAUGAGCUCGCGUCCAAUUAGUUAGUUGGUGAGGUAACGGCCCACCAAGGCGACGAUUGGUAGCCGGACUGAGAGGUUGAACGGCCACAUUGGGACUGAGAUACGGCCCAGACUCCUACGGGAGGCAGCAGUGGGGAAUAUUGCACAAUGGGGGAAACCCUGAUGCAGCGACGCUGCGUGGAGGAAGAAGGUCUUCGGAUUGUAAACUCCUGUUGUUAGGGACGAUAAUGACGGUACCUAACAAGGAAGCACCGGCUAAAUACGUGCCAGCAGCCGCGGUAAAACGUAGGGUGCAAGCGUUGUCCGGAAUUACUGGGUGUAAAGGGAGCGCAGGCGGGCAUGCAAGUUGGAAGUGAAAACUAUGGGCUCAACCCAUAGCCUGCUUUCAAAACUGCGUGUCUUGAGUAGUGCAGAGGUAGGCGGAAUUCCCGGUGUAGCGGUGGAAUGCGUAGAUAUCGGGAGGAACACCAGUGGCGAAGGCGGCCUACUGAGCACCAACUGACGCUGAGGCUCGAAAGCAUGGGUAGCAAACAGGAUUAGAUACCCUGGUAGUCCAUGCCGUAAACGAUGAUUACUAGGGGUUGGGGGAUUGACCCCUUCAGUGCCGCAGUUAACACAAUAAGUAAUCCACCUGGGGAGUACGACCGCAAAGGUUGAAACUCAAAGGAAUUGACGGGGGCCCGCACAAGCAGUGGAGUAUGUGGUUUAAUUCGAAGCAACGCGAAGAACCUUACCAGGUCUUGACAUCCGAUGCAUAGUGCAGAGAUGCAUGAAGUCCUUCGGGACAUCGAGACAGGUGGUGCAUGGUUGUCGUCAGCUCGUGUCGUGAGAUGUUGGGUUAAGUCCCGCAACGAGCGCAACCCUUAUCGUCAGUUACUACGCAAGAGGACUCUGGCGAGACUGCCGUUGACAAAACGGAGGAAGGUGGGGAUGACGUCAAAUCAUCAUGCCCCUUAUGACCUGGGCUACACACGUACUACAAUGGCGUUAAACAAAGAGAAGCGAGACCGCGAGGUGGAGCAAAACUCAUAAACAACGUCCCAGUUCAGAUUGCAGGCUGCAACUCGCCAGCAAGAAGUCGGAAUUGCUAGUAAUCGCAGAUCAGCAUGCUGCGGAGAAUACGUUCCCGGGCCUUGCACACACCGCCCGUCA
rnacentral:rRNA from 1 species